rnacentral:snoRNA from 1 species
GGCGAUGACGACAAUUUCGCUAGCUGACCGGUGAUGACUACCCUCGCAACCGAGC